UACGUAGGGGGCAAGCGUUGUCCGGAAUUAUUGGGCGUAAAGAGCGUGUAGGCGGCUUGGAAGGUCAGCUGUGAAAACUCGAGGCUCAACCUCGAGACGUCGGUUGAAACCACCUGGCUAGAGUCCGGAAGAGGAGAGUGGAAUUCCUGGUGUAGCGGUGAAAUGCGCAGAUAUCAGGAAGAACACCCGUGGCGAAGGCGGCUCUCUGGGACGUGACUGACGCUGAGACGCGAAAGCGUGGGGAGCGAACAGG
rnacentral:rRNA from 1 species